rnacentral:rRNA from 1 species
AUUGAACGCUGGCGGCAGGCCUAACACAUGCAAGUCGAGCGGAUGAAGGGAGCUUGCUCCUGGAUUCAGCGGCGGACGGGUGAGUAAUGCCCAGGAAUCUGCCUGGUAGUGGGGGAUAACGUCCGGAAACGGGCGCUAAUACCGCAUACGUCCUGAGGGAGAAAGUGGGGGAUCUUCGGACCUCACGCUAUUAGAUGAGCCUAGGUCGGAUUAGCUAGUUGGUGGGGUAAAGGCCUACCAAGGCGACGAUCCGUAACUGGUCUGAGAGGAUGAUCAGUCACACUGGAACUGAGACACGGUCCAGACUCCUACGGGAGGCAGCAGUGGGGAAUAUUGGACAAUGGGCGAAAGCCUGAUCCAGCCAUGCCGCGUGUGUGAAGAAGGUCUUCGGAUUGUAAAGCACUUUAAGUUGGGAGGAAGGGCAGUAAGUUAAUACCUUGCUGUUUUGACGUUACCAACAGAAUAAGCACCGGCUAACUUCGUG